CGUGGCCUACGGGAGGCAGCAGUGAGGAAUAUUGGUCAAUGGGAGAGAUCCUGAACCAGCCAAGCCGCGUGAGGGAGGAAGGUACAGAGUAUCGUAAACCUCUUUUGUCGGGGAGCAAAAGACGCCACGCGUGGCGUUCCGAGAGUACCCGAAGAAAAAGCAUCGGCUAACUCCGUGCCAGCAGCCGCGGUAAUACGGAGGAUGCGAGCGUUAUCCGGAUUUAUUGGGUUUAAAGGGUGCGCAGGCGGUCUGUUAAGUCAGCGGUCAAAGCCCGGGGCUCAACCCCGGCCCGCCGUUGAAACUGG
rnacentral:rRNA from 1 species